AACACUUGCAGACUCUCCCUCCACACAGAGAAGCAAAGAAACCACACCACAGUCGUAGGGGAAGGGAGAGGAGGGAGGGUGGCUUCUGCUGGGUUGCCAUGUGCUAUGAGGUAGAGAACGGGAUGCAGCCAAGGAUGACUUGCCGGCUCCUGGAACCUGGAGGCGUCUCAGCUUGCUGUGCUGUGGCUUAGAACUUAGUCGGCAAGUCUGUCCUUGGCUACACCUAGUUCUCUUCCUCUCGUGUAUGGCCCUCAAGCACCGUCAAGAGAUCUAGGACCUGCAUUCAUAUAUCAUCAGCCCACUCCAGAGGAAACGUAAGGGCAAACGAAAAGGCCAAAUCGAAGUACAGCAGGCGCUGCACGACAAGAUUCCUCGAGGCUCCUGAUGCUCAGCAACAGCAAAUUAAAUGUCGUCAUAGCAUCUACAGUAAUUAAAUUGUGUGGCAUACAAAAGAAAACAUGUACUAGCAUGCAUGACAGGAUAUCGGGGCAGAAAGGUAGCAUCAGCUAGCGUUGGAGUUGAUGCGUACCAUGUUGAGAAAGUGUUGCAUUCUUUUAUUCAAAAGGGGCAAAAUGAAUAGACGAUAGGUUACCA